UACGUAGGGGGCAAGCGUUGUCCGGAUUUACUGGGCGUAAAGAGCGUGUAGGCGGCCACGCAGGUCCGUUGUGAAAACUGGAGGCUCAACCUCCAGACGUCGACGGAAACCGUGUGGCUAGAGUCCGGAAGAGGAGAGUGGAAUUCCUGGUGUAGCGGUGAAAUGCGCAGAUAUCAGGAAGAACACCUAUGGCGAAGGCAGCUCUCUGGGACGGUACUGACGCUGAGACGCGAAAGCGUGGGGAGCGAACAGG
rnacentral:rRNA from 1 species